UUAUCUCUCAUUGAAAACAGGAGAGUAUACAUUUAAUCUGCUUUAAAAUAAUGCCCAGUCCAUUAAUACUUUUCACUGAGAAUAGGUAUAAUCUCACAUGUUGUGUAAUCUUACUAAUUUUAGCUGAAGUUGUUCCUUUGCUUUAUCAAAGUUGGCUCAACUACAGGGAAGUGUGCUUAGCUGCAGUAGUGGCUGCCUCUUGAGCAGAACUCUAGCGUUACCAGUUCCUGACAGCUGCAAGCCAGCCUCUGGGCAUCUUGCUAAAUUUUCAAAUGUAAUUAUACAGUAGACUUCCUUUAACAAAUUCUGUGUUCCCAGCUAUAAUUAUAACAGCUUUUCUUGCCUCCAGCCUGUUCCUUAUCUUACAACCCACCUCCAUAUCUCCCACUGCUGGCUAGGGUUAUCCAGUAGAGCUGAUGAAUCUAGAAAAGCAGAGUUUACCUUCUCUAACUCCACAAAGAUGGUUUCUGCAGCACAGAAGAUCCAGUUCUUCUGUUUGACUGUACUGAAAUGACAUGUCUUUGUUUUCUGCUUCUCAGAACAGUUGAUUAUUAGCAUGCUGCUUCUUGUUUUGCAUUCAAGUUUCAGUUGUUUUAAUAGGACAGAAGGUAAGGAGUUGUUGAGAGCUACCCAUAAAAUGGCUUAAGAAGACAAUAUAGGGAAGGAGAGCCUUCAAAAAGUGCUUCAUGUUCAUCUUCUCACAUUUAGGAUAUCAUUUCUGUGAUGUUACUGUUUGUUCAUUGUUCUUUGUAAGCACACAUGUAAUAUGAAAAUAAAACCGUCUGUGAUACAUUCUAGGUAUUACACAUCUUAGAAAAAAUCUUAGAUCUGAUUUGAGACAAAAUCCUGGGUAAUUUUAAGUAAAGAAUGAUGAAACCGAGUAAGUUACCAGUAGAUGUGCUAUAUAUUUAAUAUUGGCUCCUGUCAAAGAAGUUUCAAAGCAACUACGCAUAUUUGCUCCUCUGUACCAGCCCAGUAGUAAAGGAAGCUGAUGGUGGUGGUUUUGAGUAUGGGAGUAUAAAGAUAAGAGGUAAAUGGGAGAAGUCAUAUGCUGUUUAAGGCAUACAGAAACAUCCUUACUUUUUGUUGUCAGUUCUGACUGUGAUUGGCUGAAUGUUAUUGGAAAAAUAUAUUGCCUAGAAGAUCACAGAUUACCGUCUAGUUCAAUAUUCUCUUUUGCAGCAGGAUCGAGUAAAUUUAUCUCGCCUUUUCCUGAAAAGCUUUGGUGAAAUAACCCCUAGAAUUCAUAUUCCCAUUGACUUUUCAUAAUUUACCAACAUCUUCCUAACAAUUCUGGUGCUCUCACUAUAUACAGCAUACUUAAGAGAUGGAAGGAAGUAGUUAUCACCUCUUCACGUACAUGCACAUAUCUGCACACCCACCCACCCUAGAUGUCUGUCAACAUGUGAUACUUCUGGAAGACACCACGAAAUUUAGCCACUUGGUUUGUGAACUUCUGUCCACUGACUCCCAGUGCAGUAUUUUAUCAGUGGUCCAUUUUGUGUUCAUGUCUAUGCUAUAUUUGUGUUCGUUCAAAAUGUAGCGCCUUGGAUUUCUCUUAAUUGAAUCAUUUUCUUGAUUUCUGGCUGCAUCCUUCACUAUUCAAAAGCAUUCAGAAAUCAGAUCCUGUCCUCUGAGGUGCUGCUGGUUUUUCAUAGUAUUGCAUUAUCUGUAGAUUUUGUCACCACAUAGUAUUCUAUUUAAUAAUCUCUUAUUGAAUGAAACGGGACUAUUGAGUGGAAUAGUCUCCUAAUGGAAGUACUAAGACAAGAGUUCCUUCUUUAUGUUCCUCUUCCUCAGCUUAACAUUUUUCAAGGUGUUUUCUUUUUAAUGAGUGUUUUUGUUGUUGUUUUUAAUUCCUUACUUUCUUUCCUCCUUGUUUGUGCCUUGUUUGUCUUAUAUCAUUGUAGGUCUCUUUGAUAGCUUAUACAGGACAGAGAUGAAUGUUUUUUGUUUUGUUUUUUUUUUCUAGCUGAGAGGUUGUGCAGUAGAAAUUUUCUUUGGUUUUGUUUGUUCUGUAAUUUCAGAAAAGCACAGUUGGGUUCAUAAGAAUAAGACUUCAAAGGUUACCAGAAAAUUAAGUGCUCUUUCAUCGCAUUUUAUGUACCAAGUGGAAUGGGAUUAAACAGAUCUUCAUUCUGUCAUAUAAAUAAUAAACUGUGAAAUACAGCAGCUCCUGCAUUCACAGAUUUAAUAGACCUAUGCAAGUCAAGUUCAGGAGUCUGGUGCCAGGACUACUCCAGCUUCCUUGUUCAUACUGGUGACUUCUGAAGUUGGCUUGAAUAUCAUUUUAAGAACGACUGUCUUGUUUGUUCAAAUACCUGCCGCACUGUGAGUUAAUUUUUCUAUCUUAAAAAGAAAAAACACCUACAAAUUUUGCCUCACCUUCAUUAAUGUCACAGUUAACUCUUUUAGCACUUCUAAGAUGAUGUUUGCAGUGUUUUCCAGAAAUUAUUUCACCUUUUAUGUAAAGUGACAUUUACUAGCAUAAAUGUUUUUUACUAGUCUACUACAUUAAAUUGUAAAAGACAAUUGAAAAUUCUCACUGUAGUACGUCAUUUUAUAAGCUAUGGAUAACUGCUGAAGUCUGCUUGCUAAUGAGCUGGUGAAACAUCAUCAGUGGGAGCUUCUAUUUUUUUCUCUCAUGCCCUCACUCCUCACCUGAAAGAGCAGUUCACUAUCAUAAUUCAAUUCUUACAGCAAAAUGGCAGCGUUUAGAGGUGAUAUGAUGUUUGCUAUUAAAGACUUGCCAAUUUUGCCCUAAAUAGCUAGGUUUUAUUUCCUCAAAUUCCUCAAUUUGCCAUGUUUUGUUUGGAAUUACCUAGUAAAUGUUGAGGUAAUACUAUUGAAUUGUAUGAAGGAAUUAGAAAGUUGAAAUGCUAGCAAUGUAGAUUUAGAAUACUAAUAUUUGUCUGCAGAAUGACUUCAGUUCAACAGAUUAAAUAUCCAGAAACUCAAUUGGAACAAUUUUUGCUCUUACUGACUUCCACCAGUGUUAUUAAUUAGUUAUUUUUCCUUUAUACUGGUCUGGAAAAUUUAGAACCCUUUCUGUACUGAUUUUAUAAGAGAUGUAUGUGCUUGUGUUUAUGUAUGUAUAGUUUCUGUACCUUUCAAAUGUAGUUAGUUUUUUCUGGUGUUGCAGUGAAGUACAGAACACUAUGCAGUACAUUAAAGAAAUAGAGUCUGUGCAUCAGAACAAUUUUCAUGCCUCACUCAAUUCUUAAUGUAAAUUAGUAGGAACAUUGGUUAUCCAUUUGAGAAAUUGAGUUGGUAUAAAAAUAAAAAUGCACUUAUGGUGUGUGGUGCUUUGUGUAUCAUCUUGGGAGUGUUUUUCUGUUUAUCUGUCACUUGCAUUAGAAAAAGCAGUCACUGGCUGCAGGUGACAUUAAAAAUUAAAGGUUAACCUCAAUUUCUUUACUGACCAGACAUGGGGCAGAAAGUUCUUCUGGAUGUAUGCCUGAAUUUUGGAACUGUCAAAAAGAAUUGAGAAGACUUGUGCUUUUGGUAAUUUAAUCUUUGUGUGCAAGUUUGGGUAUAUGGUUUUAACAUUUUCAAGUGCUUAUAUUGCUUACAAUAGGUGAUAUCCAGAAUAUUCUUCAUUGCAUCCAACUUUACGAAAUUGAAAAAUAACAUGGUAAUGCUGUAGCAAAUAAUUGUAUUGAUCUGCAUAAUUUUUGGAAAGAUGUUUUUAUUUCUGUAGAGAAACUAAUAAAAGUAGCCUUUUUCCUAUUACAAGAAAGCGUGUCUUUCAAAAACUAGUUAAAAUUUUUAUUGAAAAUUGCUAUAGCAACAUUUGAACAUCCUGCUUAGCUCGAUGUACAUUUAAUAUAGACCAAAUAUGCAAGUUGCUCAUGAACAACCCUGGGAAAUCUAUCUUUUAAGUAGUAAGUCUUUUGACUAAGUUGGCUGCUAUGCCAUGGUGAGUUCAGACUGAUCUAAAUUCGAUGUUGUAGUGCUUCCCUCCUCUCACUCUUUGUGAUGGAGUUGUAAUGUUCAGAAAAGAAGACUAGCUUCAGGCAGCAGUGGUUGCUGUGUCUGCCAAAUAUCUCAUUUGUGAAGCAGCUAUUGUGCUUGUUCCGUGGUAGACCAGCUAUGGGCAAGUCUUUAUACUGAAGCUGCAAACUCAAAUGCUGCUCUUACCUUCUGUUUUAUCUCGUGAUUUACUUACCCAUGCAUAUAAUCAAUAGAUCUGUUGCUUGUUGCUUUCUAAGCGCAAAUGAGUGGGAAGAAAGAACAAUGAAAUUGCCUUCUCUGUCUCUGUGGUUCAAAUAGACUGCCAAAACGUACUCAUCUUCUUCCUUAUCCCCCUUCUGUUGAAGGAUGAAUGUCUUCUGAUCGUCUUUUUUCUUACAGAAUCACAGAAUCCUUAGAAUUGGAAAGGACUUUAAAGAUCAUGUAGUCCAAGUCCUUCUUCCUACAGCUUAUCUUAGGAAAAUAUGAAAUAUUUUAAUAUUAAGGAAAGCUGUGGAUAGUACUUCAGAGAAGACCAUUGUAAUAGAGAUUUGUGAGGAAACUUAGUAUUGCACAUACUCAUAUAAUUGUUUUAAAAUUAUUUAUCUAUGUUUGUUUCUUGCUAAGUUUGACGGUUAUAUCAAGACUUGUAAGCUGAAUUUUUCAGAUUUUGAAAUAAAUUUUGUUAAGAAUUUAUUGAUGGGAAAGUGAUAAUCCACAUUUCAUAUCUUUUAUUUAUCCCUAUUUUGUUAAGACUAUUUCAGACCAGUAAUUUUUCUGAAGACAGAAUACUUGUAGAUGACAACAAUUUUUCUGUUUUCCCUCUGCUUGAACUUAUCCCAGUUUUCACCAAGGUCCGUGCUUAACAAUUCCCAAUUUCAGGUGUUCCAGAUUUUUUUGCUUGUCGUAAUAACGAACCUGAUCAAGCAUUAUGCCACUAUUGAAAUAAUUAAUGUGGAAACUGAAGUAAUAUAUAGCUUUACACUCAGAUCUUUUGAGUUAGUAAGUCAUUAAAUUGCACAAAAUAGUUUAUAUUUGUUGUCUUACAAACCAAUUCUAAAGUGUUAGUUUUAUAAACCAGGUUACAGGGAAAUAGUUAAAUACGGCAGAAAUUUGUUAUAAUUUGAAAUUCACAAAUUCCUAGAAAUUUCUAGUGAUUUUAAGUAUUUUUAACAUGCUCUAAAAUGUGUGACGUUUUAUAUUUUUUUAAUGAUUUUUCAGUUACUUCCUUUAAAUUCAAAACAAACAACUUCUCGUAGUCUGGUUACUUUCAAUCUUGUUACAGAUGGCUUCUCAAAUACUACAGUAAUCUGUGGUUUGUGGAGCAACUAAACUAUCCAUUUGUUACACUGUCAGGCAGCUCAUAGAGGUCAUCGCACAUCUGAAUGAACCAAACAUUAAAGAAAAGAAAAGAAGCUCUUAAUGCAGCAUUUCUGGUGCUGUUCUUACAGCAUGAGUGGCCCAUGCACCUAUGUUCUUGUGAUUAGUUUGUGGCUGUAUUGGAAAUAUCAGCAGUAGAGAGAUACAUCUGUAUACAAAGGACUCUUUCUCAUAUGUAGCAGAACUUACGGGAUAUUCAGCUUUGAAGAAUGAAAAGCAAGUCCAGAUUUGAGCUAUAUCAUUUCCACAUAAGGGUGCAUACUGUCACCUCACUGAUAGCAACUUCCAUAGCCUAAUUUCUGUGGCUAUUAGAUGGCCCCAGUGAGGAUUAGCACUAUUUUGUGUUACCAGCCCAUGCUCUUUAGGCAUCAUUUCUUCUCUCUUGAUCUCUGUCACGGUUUAUCAGCUUUAUGUAGCUGAUGAUCACGUAACGAAUUUGAUAGUGCUUCACAUUGUUCAGUAGAUGAGUAGUAUAUGUCUUCUGCACUUCCCUUGCCCCCCUCAUGUUGAACAGUAUGGCACUGAUGCCUGAGCUGCCCUUGGGCAGAGCCCAGAAAAGUCUGGGAGAGCUUGAGCUUCAUACUUGGUAUCUGCUUUGUUUUUUUAAAUUGGGAAACCAGUCUUGCUAGUUGGAAAACCAGAAUGUGAGGGCAUGAACUUCUUAUUACCUGCUUACUUUAAUGUAUGUAUCUUUCACACUUUCAUUAUAUAUCUUCUCUUCUGUGUAUUGAUAACUUCCAGGUUUCUUUAGAAGCAUCACACUGUUGACAAAUGGCAUUACUAGUCAGAAGACUUUUAUUUGUGAUUGGCUUUUGUUUAUUUUUGGUAACAGAGGUCUACUGUCUUAGGUGAUCCUAAAUGCUAAUGAGAAUUUGUUAAUCAAGAUUGUUUUAAAGUAGUUGUUAAAGGAUUAAAAGUUGCAGUCUUAAGAGUUUUUGCAUCAAAAUAGUCAUCAGGAGGAGAGAUUGUUGGAUUGCCAAUGGCAUGCUGUAAAGAGGAUUGUAAUAUUUUGAUGCAUUUGAAGUGACUCUCUUACCAUAGAUGAGAUCGUUACAGGCAGUUGUUUCUGAUGCAUUCAGUGUUGUGAUAAUGUUCCAAUAAAGUUUUAAGAAAAAGAAGUUCUAGAAAAUUGUCUUCUACUUCUCUUAAAGGGGAGAAGGCUCCAUUUUGUGAUUAUGCUUGGCUCUUUUUCUCCUACCCGGGAAAUACUACGCAACUUACUUUACUACUAGGACAAAUUCUUAAGGAAGUUCACAGCAUUUUACUUUAUACUCUUAAUUAAUACCAUUGAAUGUCUGAAUAUAGACUGAAUGGCUAUAGAUAGAUGCCAGCUAUGUGCAGUUGGAGUCUGGUGUUAGGGAUUGCAUCCUCAAUGCAAGUAGCAGCCUUUCUCAGUUGUUCUCGUGACAAGCUGACAGUUGUAAUUAGAUAGAAAGGAACUUAAUGAAGCUUUAUAAAAUU